ACAACCAAACUGGCAAAUCAAGCAACUUUGAAGUUAAGGGGCUAUAAGGCGCCCCCAGAACCGGUAAAGCAAGAAAUGAGCGCAUGACACUUUUUCCUGCAUCAUGUUUGUAAAAAUGUGGUGUGAUUUUAAUUUUCUUGAGGAAAAAAAAAUGGCCGCAUGAGAAGUUGUCCUGCCUUGUGUGUGUAUUUGUUAAGUGUCGUUUUAUUUUGGGAUUCUUCUGCUUGCAAGAUUCACAUUUUGUGCUCGAGACGUUUCACAAACGGUGGCUGUCACAUGUGGGUUGUUUGUUGGCUUUUGCGUCAUAAAGUAUGCGCUAUGAGUAUAUGGAUAACUUACGGUAAAUAAUACAUUUUUAGUCUUCUCAUCAGUCACUGUAUUAACAGAUGGGAAAAAGGAAAAACGACAGUGUAUAAUAGACUUCUACCGCAAUGUGUUAUCCAUUGAUGCAUGCCAGUUAAGUUUUUUUUGUUUUUUUUUUGUGCUGUCAAAGAGUAAUGGUACACACACAAGAAUAUCAUUUUAACCCACCGUUAACUAUAUUUUCAAAAUGGUUAAGUCAAAGGGAAUCCUAAAUCUAUGUUCACUCGAGCCGUCUUUGAGCCAUUACACCGUCUUGUUUCCUGUUCAGUGUCACCAGUCACUUCAUUGCCAAGCCGUCAAUAAGAAACUGUAUAAUUGAAGUGAUUAUCCCCACGCCCCUCCC